rnacentral:rRNA from 1 species
GACGAACGCUGGCGGCGUGCCUAAUACAUGCAAGUCGAACGCAGUGGGGACGGGUGAGUAACAAGUGGGUAACCUCCCAUCAGAGGGGAUAAAACGUGGAAAAAGGUGCUAAAACCGAUACGGAUGGAUGGACCCGGGGUGGAUUAGCUAGUUGGUGGGGUAACGGCUCAGCAAGGCCACGAGGCAUAGCCGGCCUGAGAGGGUGAUCAGCCACACUGGGACUGAGACACGGCCCAGACUCCUACGGGAGGCAGCAGUGGGGAAUCUUCGGCAAUGGACGAAAGUCUGACCUAGCAACGCCGCGUGUGUGAAGAAGGUUUUCGGAUCGUAAAGCUCUGUUGUUAGAGAGGCGGUAUCUAACCAGGAAGCCACGGCUAACUACGUGCCAGCCGCCGCGGUAAUAC